GCGGGAUUAGUUAAACGGCCUAAUGCCACCCUUCCAAGGUGGAGACACGGGUUCGACUCCCGUAUCCCGCUCAA
rnacentral:tRNA from 2 species